rnacentral:sRNA from 1 species
GCCAGGCAUGGUGGUGCAUGCCUGUAAUUCCAGAGGCUCUGGAGGCUGAGGAAGGAGGACUGCAGGUUCAAGGCCAGCCUCAGCAAUUUAGUGAGGCCCUACACAACUUAGUGAGAUCCUGUCUCUA